UACGAAGGGGGCUAGCGUUGUUCGGAAUUACUGGGCGUAAAGCGUGCGCAGGCGGUCCUGCAAGUCAGGCGUGAAAUCCCCGGGCUUAACCUGGGAAUGGCACUUGAAACUACGGGACUGGAGUAUGGCAGAGGGAGGUGGAAUUCCACGUGUAGCGGUGAAAUGCGUAGAGAUGUGGAGGAACACCGAUGGCGAAGGCAGCCUCCUGGGCCAAUACUGACGCUCAUGCACGAAAGCGUGGGGAGCAAACAGG
rnacentral:rRNA from 1 species